rnacentral:rRNA from 1 species
CAGCCGCCGCGGUAAUACGUAGGUGGCAAGCGUUGUCCGGAUUUAUUGGGCGUAAAGCGAGCGCAGGCGGUUCCUUAAGUCUGAUGUGAAAGCCCCCGGCUCAACCGGGGAGGGUCAUUGGAAACUGGGAAACUUGAGUGCAGAAGAGGAGAGUGGAAUUCCACGUGUAACGGUGAAAUGCGUAGAGAUGUGGAGGAACACCAGUGGCGAAGGCGACUCUCUGGUCUGUAACUGACGCUGAGGAGCGAAAGCGUGGGGAGCGAACAGGAUUAGAUACCCCAGUAGUCCCUGUCUCUUAUAC